AACGAACGCUGGCGGCAUGCCUAACACAUGCCAGUCGAACGAGACCUUCGGGUCUAGUGGCGCACGGGUGCGUAACGCGUGGGAACCUGCCCUUAGGUUCGGAAUAACUCCCCGAAAGGGGUGCUAAUACCGAAUAAUGUCUUCGGACCAAAGAUUUAUCGCCUUUGGAUGGGCCCGCGUUGGAUUAGCUAGUUGGUAGGGUAAAAGCCUACCAAGGCGACGAUCCAUAGCUGGUCUGAGAGGAUGAUCAGCCACACUGGGACUGAGACACGGCCCAGACUCCUACGGGAGGCAGCAGUGGGGAAUAUUGGACAAUGGGCGAAAGCCUGAUCCAGCAAUGCCGCGUGAGUGAUGAAGGCCUUAGGGUUGUAAAGCUCUUUUACACGGGAUGAUAAUGACAGUACCGGGAGAAUAAGCUCCGGCUAACUCCGUG
rnacentral:rRNA from 1 species